rnacentral:rRNA from 1 species
CAAGUCGAACGAGAAAGGGGCCUUCGGGUCCUGAGUAAAGUGGCGAACGGGUGAGUAACGCGUAGGCAACCUGCUCUCGAGUGUGGAAUAACCUGGCGAAAGCCGGGCUAAUACCGCAUGAUGUCCCCUGGCCUCUGGGUCGAGGGACCAAAGAUGGCGAGCUUCGAGCGCUGUCGUUCGAGAUGGGGCCUGCGUCCCAUUAGCUAGUUGGUGAGGUAACGGCCCACCAAGGCGACGAUGGGUAGCCGGGCUGAGAGGCUGUCCGGCCACACUGGAACUGAGACACGGUCCAGACUCCUACGGGAGGCAGCAGUGGGGAAUAUUGCGCAAUGGGGGAAACCCUGACGCAGCGACGCCGCGUGGGCGAUGAAGGCCUUCGGGUCGUAAAGCCCUGUCGAGCGGGACGAAAUGCGUGGGUCCUAACAUGGCCCGCGCUUGACGGUACCGCUGGAGGAAGCCCCGGCUAACUCCGUGCCAGCAGCCGCGGUAAUACGGAGGGGGCUAGCGUUAUUCGGAAUUAUUGGGCGUAAAGGGCGUGUAGGCGGCUUCGUGUGUCCCAUGUGAAAGCCCUCGGCUUAACCGAGGAACUGCAUGGGAAACUGCGGAGCUUGAGUCCGGGAGAGGAGAGCGGAAUUCCCAGUGUAGCGGUGAAAUGCGUAGAUAUUGGGAGGAACACCAGUGGCGAAGGCGGCUCUCUGGACCGGUACUGACGCUGAGACGCGAAAGCCAGGGGAGCAAACGGGAUUAGAUACCCCGGUAGUCCUGGCUGUAAACGAUGAGCACUUGGUGUGGCGGGUAUCGACCCCUGCCGUGCCGAAGCUAACGCAUUAAGUGCUCCGCCUGGGGAGUACGGCCGCAAGGCUGAAACUCAAAGGAAUUGACGGGGGCCCGCACAAGCGGUGG